rnacentral:rRNA from 1 species
AUUGAACGCUGGCGGCAGGCCUAACACAUGCAAGUCGAGCGGAUGAAGGGAGCUUGCUCCUGGAUUCAGCGGCGGACGGGUGAGUAAUGCCUAGGAAUCUGCCUGGUAGUGGGGGAUAACGUCCGGAAACGGGCGCUAAUACCGCAUACGUCCUGAGGGAGAAAGUGGGGGAUCUUCGGACCUCACGCUAUCAGAUGAGCCUAGGUCGGAUUAGCUAGUUGGUAGGGUAAAGGCCUACCAAGGCGACGAUCCGUAACUGGUCUGAGAGGAUGAUCAGUCACACUGGAACUGAGACACGGUCCAGACUCGUACGGGAGGCAGCAGUGGGGAAUAUUGGACAAUGGGCGAAAGCCUGAUCCAGCCAUGCCGCGUGUGUGAAGAAGGUCUUCGGAUUGUAAAGCACUUUAAGUUGGGAGGAAGGGCAGUAAGUUAAUACCUUGCUGUUUUGACGUUACCAACAGAAUAAGCACCGGCUAACUUCGUG